GGUUGUUACCUGGCGCCAGGUGAUGGUCACGAUUGCUGCUUCACGUGUCUAGGCAUUAAACACGAUGAAGUGGCAUUCGCGGAUGAGUCAUGUUCCCAUUGUGGAAAAAAUGACCAUCUCGGAGCUGCGGACCAGGCUUUGUUACCUCAAGGGAGGCAGAGCUCCAUUGCCUCUGCCGCAAACUAGUGCUCGUCCUGGCAGCUGCCAGGCGAGGGCUACUUCAGGCAAUAGCAUGGGUGGUUUGAGGGUUACAGUGGUGGCAAACCCCUCAGGGAACCAACCCUUGGGGUCCACCACUCCUCUAGCACUUCCGAUUCAGUUGAGUUUGAGGGUUACAGUGGUGGCAAACCCCUCAGGGAACCAACCCUUGGGGUCCACCACUCCUCUAGCACUUCCGAUUCAGUUGAGUGGCCAAAGGAUAGCAUUUUUAUUAACAAAGCACACUCAGACACUCUCCGGUCUGCUCACAAGCUACCCAAGUUGGGUUCCUGCGGUGGUUCUGUUGGUCCCGCUUGCACGGUAUCUGGGUGCCUGGCUAGCGCCAUCCAGCCCAUCUCGCUGGCUUCUGUGGACCAUCAGCCUCGGCUAUACAAUUCAGUUCACCCAGCAUCUCCCCAAGUUCAGUGGCAUCCGCUUCACAACAAUGAAGGCGGCCGUUGCUCCUGUCUUGCAUGCGGAUAUUACAGUCCUACUGGUGAAGGAUGCGAUGGAGCCGGUCCCUCCAGCCAAUAUGAGAACGGGGUUUUACAGCCCUUACUUCAUUGUACCCAAGAAAGGCGGUGGGUUACGACCAAUCUUAGACCUGCGUGCCUUGAACCAGACCCUUUACCGGUCACCGUUCAAGAUGUUGAUGCAAAAACGCAUCUUCGGGUGCGUCCGUCCCCAAGAAUGGUUUGCAGCGAUCGACCUGAAGGAUGCAUACUUUCAUGUGUCGAUUCUUCCGUGCCACAGACCAUUUCUGCGGUUUGUGUUCGAAGGAUGGGCAAACAAGUACAAGGUCCUGCCCUUCGGGCUGUCCCUGUUUCCCCGUGUCUUAAUGAAAGUUGGGGGCUCUUGUUCCCCUCAGAGAGCAGAUUGGCUUAUACUAGCACAGUCUUGGGACCAGUUGUGUGAGCACAGGGAGCUGGUGCUCCGGCACCUCAGCCUGUUGGGUCUUCGGGUCAACUGAGAAAAGAGCAAACUCUACCCAACACAGAGGAUCUCUUUUCUCAGUAUGGAGUUGGAUUUGGUCGAACAGACAGCACGCCUCACAGAGGAACGUGCAUGGUCGGUGCUGACCUGCUUGCAUUCAUUCAAGGGCAGGACUGCAGUCCCACUGAAACUAUUUCAGAGGCUCCUGGGGCAUGUGGCAGCUGCAGUGGCACUUACACCGCUAGGGCUAUUGCCAGCACGGCACUCACCGAGUCCAAGUUACACCGGCCUGUCGCCAAACCUUCUCCCCGUGGUCAGAUCUUACAUACCUCUGGGCAGAAGUGCACCUAGAACAGGUCUCCAGGCAUGCCAUGGUUUACACGGAUGCCUCCACCACCUGCGGCCAUGUACAACGGGCACGCAGUGUGGGGGGUUUGGACGGGCCCCCAUCUGCACUGGCAUAUCAAUUGCCUAGAGUUGUUGG
rnacentral:lncRNA from 1 species